GACGAACGCUGGCGGCGUGCCUAAUACAUGCAAGUUGAGCGCUGAAGGUUGGUACUUGUACCAACUGGAUGAGCAGCGAACGGGUGAGUAACGCGUGGGGAAUCUGCCUUUGAGCGGGGGACAACAUUUGGAAACGAAUGCUAAUACCGCAUAAAAACUUUAAACACAAGUUUUAAGUUUGAAAGAUGCAAUUGCAUCACUCAAAGAUGAUCCCGCGUUGUAUUAGCUAGUUGGUGAGGUAAAGGCUCACCAAGGCGAUGAUACAUAGCCGACCUGAGAGGGUGAUCGGCCACAUUGGGACUGAGACACGGCCCAAACUCCUACGGGAGGAAGCAGUAGGGAAUCUUCGGCAAUGGACGAAAGUCUGACCGAGCAACGCCGCGUGAGUGAAGAAGGUUUUCGGAUCGUAAAACUCUGUUGGUAGAGAAGAAAGUUGGUGAGAGUGGAAAGCUCAUCAAGUGACGGUAACUACCCAGAAAGGGACGGCUAACUACGUG
rnacentral:rRNA from 1 species